rnacentral:rRNA from 1 species
CAGUAGCCGCGGGAAAACAGAGGGUGCAAGCGUUAAUCGGAAUUACUGGGCGUAAAGCGCGCGUAGGUGGUUUGUUAAGUCGGAUGUGAAAUCCCCGGGCUCAACCUGGGAACUGCAUCCGAAACUGGCAAGCUAGAGUAUGGUAGAGGGUAGUGGAAUUUCCUGUGUAGCGGUGAAAUGCGUAGAUAUAGGAAGGAACACCAGUGGCGAAGGCGACUACCUGGACUGAUACUGACACUGAGGUGCGAAAGCGUGGGGAGCAAACAGGAUUAGAUACCCCUGUAGUCCCUGUCUCUUAUAC